AGCGGGGGCCGCGGUGCUGCCCGUGAAGAAGCCGAAAAUGGAGCAGGUCCAGGCUGACCACGAGCUCUUCCUCCAGGCCUUUGAGAAACCAACACAGAUCUAUAGAUUUCUUCGUACUCGAAAUCUCAUAGCGCCAAUAUUUUUGCACAGAACUCUUACUUACAUGUCUCACCGAAAC